CUAGUAUAUAUUACAAUAAUGAUAUAUUUUACAUGCAAACUUGAUAUUAAUUAAUGAUAUCGCAGUGAUUAAUAUUAUAUAAUUAUGAUAAAUGGAGAUUGUAUAAUCAUAUUCUUGCCGGCCAAUUUUGUGCCAGCAGCCGCGGUUAGACUGAUGGCGGGUUGUAAUUUAGCGGAAUAUAAUAAAAAGAUUUAUUUUUAUAAUUUGAUUUAUUGAGAGGUGAAAUUCAGUGAUAGUUUGUUUUAUAGUUUAGUUUUAUUUGUGAAAUUUUGGUUAUAAAAUAGGAUUAGAUACCCUAGUAUACGAAGAAUUAAAUGGAUUAUACCGGGGGAGUAUUAGAUGAACUUGAAAUUUAAAGGAUUUGGCGGUAUCUCAUUUUAUUAGAGGAACCUGUUCUGUGAUCGAAGUUCCACGAUAGGGAGUAGCUUAAAUUGUUUGUUUGUAUACCGCUGUGUAGAUAGUGUUGAUAAGGAGAUAAAUUAUUGGGAUUUAGUUGUUUAGAAUGUCAGGUCAAGGUGCAGCUUUUGUUUGAGUUUGAAAUGGGUUACAAUUAAUUUAUUUAAUGACGGAUAUCCUUUUUAAUAAGGAAUGAAGGUGGAUUUAUGAGUAAUAUUGUUUAAUUUAAUGAUAUGAAUUAAUACUGAGAUAUGCAUACAUCGCCCGUCGCUUUCAUUUUUAGGUGAAAUAAGUCGUAACAUAGUAGAUGUAUUGGAAAAUGUAUCUGG
rnacentral:ncRNA from 1 species